UUAGCUUAAAACCCAAAAGACUUGACGGUGUCCUAUCCCACUAGAGGAGCCUGUCCUAGAAUCGAUACUCCCCGUUUAACCUUACCACCUCUUGCUUGAUUCAGUUAGUAUACUUCCGUCGUAGGCUUACCAUAUGAGUGUUAGUAGUAGGCUCAAUGAUAAUUCAUAAGUACGUCAGGUCAAGGUGCAGCAUAAGAGGUGGGCUGAGAUGGGCUACAAUUUCUAACCUAGAACACACGGAACAUUGCAUGAAAAAAACACUGCAAAGGUGGAUCUAGUAGUAAAAAGAGAAUAAAGUGCUCUUUUUAACAGCGGCACUGGGACGCGUACAAACCGCCCGUCACCCUCCUCGAUAGAUAACCACUAGUAAUUAACACAAAUUUUCCAUCAGAGAAGGCAAGUCGUAACAUGGUAAGUGUACCGGAAGGUGCGCUUGGAUAG
rnacentral:rRNA from 1 species